UAAUACGGAGGGUGCAAACGUUGUUCGGAAUUACUGGGCGUAAAGCGCAUGUAGGCGGAUAUGGAAGUCAGAUGUGAAAGCCCUUGGCUCAACCAAGGAAGUGCAUCUGAAACCACAUAUCUUGAGUAUGACAGAGGGAAGUGGAAUUUCCAGUGUAGAGGUGAAAUUCAUAGAUAUUGGAAAGAACACCGGUGGCGAAGGCGGCUUUCUGGGUCAUUACUGACGCUGAGAUGCGAAAGCGUGGGGAGCAAACAGGAUUAGAUACCCUGGUAGUCCACGCCGUAAACGAUGUGCACUAGGUGUUGGGAGUAAUUAAACUCACAGUGCCGAAGCUAACGCAUUAAGUGCACCGCCUGGGGAUUACGGUCGCAAGACUA
rnacentral:rRNA from 1 species